rnacentral:rRNA from 1 species
CAGGCCUAACACAUGCAAGUCGAACGGAGUAGCAAUACUUAGUGGCAAACGGGUGCGUAACGCGUAAGCAACCUGCCCUCAACUGGGGGAUAGCCCGGCGAAAGCUGGGGUAAACCCGCACGGUCCAAAGCCAUCACCUGGUGGGUUUGGUAAACAUUGAUGGGUUGAGGAGGGGCUUGCGUCUGAUUAGCUAGUUGGCAGGGUAACGGCCUACCAAGGCGAUGAUCAGUAGGGGUUCUGAGAGGAUUGGCCCCCACAUGGGUACUGAGAUACGGACCCAACUCCUACGGGAGGCAGCAGUAGGGAAUAUUGGGCAAUGGGCGCAAGCCUGAUCCAGCCAUGCCGCGUGAGUGAUGAAGGCCUUAGGGUUGUAAAGCUCUUUUAUCCGGGAAGAUAAUGACUGUAUCGGAAGAAUAAGCCCCGGCUAACUUCGUGCCAGCAGCCGCGGUAAU